rnacentral:tRNA from 1 species
GGAUUGUGGCUCAGCGGUAGAUCGCUCAUCUAGCACGUGGGAGGUCCUGGGUUGGAUCCUCAGCACCA